rnacentral:rRNA from 1 species
UACGGAGGGGGCUAGCGUUGUUCGGAAUUACUGGGCGUAAAGCGCGCGUAGGCGGCUUUGUAAGUUAGAGGUGAAAGCCCGGAGCUCAACUCCGGAACUGCCUUUAAGACUGCAUCGCUAGAAUUGUGGAGAGGUGAGCGGAAUUCCGAGUGUAGAGGUGAAAUUCGUAGAUAUUCGGAAGAACACCAGUGGCGAAGGCGACUCACUGGACACAUAUUGACGCUGAGGUGCGAAAGCGUGGGGAGCAAACAGG